rnacentral:rRNA from 1 species
GAUGAACGCUGACAGAAUGCUUAACACAUGCAAGUCAACUUGAACUUCGGUUUGGGUGGCGGACGGGUGAGUAACGCGUAAAGAACUUGCCUCACAGAUAGGGACAACAUUUGGAAACGAAUGCUAGUACCUGAUAUUAUGAUUAUAUGGCAUCGUAUAAUUAUGAAAGCUAUAUGCGCUGUGAGAGAGCUUUGCGUCCCAUUAGCUAGUUGGAGAGGUAACGGCUCACCAAGGCGAUGAUGGGUAGCCGGCCUGAGAGGGUGAUCGGCCACAAGGGGACUGAGACACGGCCCUUACUCCUACGGGAGGCAGCAGUGGGGAAUAUUGGACAAUGGACCAAGAGUCUGAUCCAGCAAUUCUGUGUGCACGAUGAAGUUUUUCGGAAUGUAAAGUGCUUUCAGUUGGGAAGAAAAAAAUGACGGUACCAACAGAAGAAGUGACGGCUAAAUACGUG